UCAACUUUCGAUGGUAAGGUAUUGGCUUACCAUGGUUUCAACGGGUAACGGGGAAUUAGGGUUCGAUUCCGGAGAGUGAGCCUGAGAAACGGCUCACACAUCCAAGGAAGGCAGCAGGCGCGCAAAUUACCCAAUCCCGACACGGGGAGGUAGUGACAAUAAAUACUGAUACAGGGCUCUUUUGGGUCUUGUAAUUGGAAUGAGUACAAUUUAAACCUCUUAACGAGGAACAAUUGGAGGGCAAGUCUGGUGCCAGCAGCCGCGGUAAUUCCAGCUCCAAUAGCGUAUAUUAAAGUUGUUGCAGUUAAAAAGCUCGUAGUUGAAUCUUUGGCCUGGCUGGCGGGUCCGCCUCACCGCGUGCACUUGUCCGGCCGGGCCUUCUCUUCUGGAGAACCGCAUGCCCUUCACUGGGCGUGUUGGGGACCAGGACUUUUACUUUGAAAAAAUUAGAGUGUUCAAAGCAGGCCUUUGCUCGAAUACGUUAGCAUGGAAUAAUAGAAUAGGACGUGCGGUCCUAUUUUGUUGGUUUCUAGGACCGCCGUAAUGAUUAAUAGGGACAGUCGGGGGCAUCAGUAUUCAAUUGUCAGAGGUGAAAUUCUUGGAUUUAUUGAAGACUAACUACUGCGAAAGCAUUUGCCAAGGAUGUUUUCAUUAAUCAGUGAACGAAAGUUAGGGGAUCGAAGACGAUCAGAUACCGUCGUAGUCUUAACCAUAAACUAUGCCGACUAGGGAUCGGGCGGUGUUAUCGAUUUGACCCGCUCGGCACCUUGCGAGAAAUCAAAGUGUUUGGGUUCUGGGGGGAGUAUGGUCGCAAGGCUGAAACUUAAAGGAAUUGACGGAAG
rnacentral:rRNA from 1 species